UACGUAGGGGGCAAGCGUUGUCCGGAUUUACUGGGCGUAAAGCGCGUGUAGGCGGGCGCGCAAGUCCGGUGUGAAAGCCCCCAGCUCAACUGGGGAAGGUCGCUGGAAACUGCGCUUCUUGAGGGCGGCAGAGGGAAGUGGAAUUGCUGGUGUAGCGGUGAAAUGCGUAGAGAUCAGCAGGAACACCCGUGGCGAAGGCGGCUUCCUGGGCCGCGCCUGACGCUGAGACGCGAAAGCGUGGGGAGCGAACGGG
rnacentral:rRNA from 1 species